AUUGAACGCUGGCGGCAGGCCUAACACAUGCAAGUCGAGCGGAGCGGCGGACGGGUGAGUAAUGCCUAGGAAUCUGCCUGGUAGUGGGGGAUAACGUCCGGAACCGGGCGCUAAUACCGCAUACUCUCAGAUGAGCCUAGGUCGGAUUAGCUAGUGGGUGGGGUAAAGGCCUACCAAGGCGACGAUCCGUAACUGGUCUGAGAGGAUGAUCAGUAACACGGGAACUGAGACACGGUCCAGACGCCUACGGGAGGCAGAAGGGGGGAAUAUUGGACAAGGGGCGAAAGCCUGAUCCAGCCAUGCCGCGUGUGUGAAGAAGGUCUUCGGAUUGUAAAGCACUUUAAGUUGGGAGGCGUUACCAACAGAAUAAGCACCGGCUAACUUCGUGCCAGCAGCCGCGGUAAUUC
rnacentral:rRNA from 1 species